UCUCCCCAGGCCCCAGCCCCCACCAGACAAACCCUAGCCUCACCAAGCCCCACAUCUCGCGCUCCUCCCUCCUCCGUCCUCGUUAGCCGCCGCCGUCGUUCUGCCUCCCUCCUCUCUCUCCUACAACCACGCCGCCAAGAGGAAGCCGUCAUUCGUGGCGCCAUGCCGCUGCCGGGGUGUUGCACACGCAUCGUUCCCCAUAGCCCCUCCCUCAUCCUCGCUCGUCACCACCGCUGCCUGCUACUCCCCUCCACCAUGGUUGGUGCUUCUGGGUUGAAUCUGGCGUUGGUGGGUCGGAACUCGAGAUAGAGGUCGAGACGGGGAAGGUCAGAAAAAUGAGAGACCGGAUGGAGGUGCUCGAGAUAGAGGAAGCUGGAGAUGGUGGGAUCCCUCUCCCCAUAUCUAUUCUCUUAGUUUUUCCUCUUCAAACCUUCAUUGAUGGUCUACCUCCCUCAACACAAUUAUCUUCAUUGUCCAUCCGGUGGUUGGAGCACGGGGCAACGCUCUGGUCGCGAUGGGGUUGAGCUGCGCAGGAGGGGGAGGAGGCUGGCGACAGGGAACCGGGCCAGGGAGGAGGCAAGAGUGGAUCCAUGCCACCAAAUUCUUGGAUAAAUAAUGAGUGCCUAGGUAUGUAUGCUGACAUGUGAGUUAAUUUUUUGGAAAAAAUAUAAUCAUAUAUGUAUUGCCAACAAUUUUUAUGUUUAAAGCAACCAAUUUUGUGAAAAGAGUGGAGAGAAAGAUACAUGUGCAAUUUCUUGAUGUUACAGCGGAUGGAUACUCGAUCUUUAAACAUAAGCAUAGAUGAAUAGGUACAAAUUCGAGGAAAGGCCAAUGAAAUAGUUGUCUAUACACAUAUGUGCCAGUUUUAUACCUGGUUGUCUGGUUGCAUUAUUUAUCCGGUUUCAAUUCAGUUUGAGUAGAUUGUUAUCCGUGAGCGAUACUUGCUACUAUUUGUCGCCAUGCACCAAUUUGCAUACCUAUUUUAGGCACAGAAACCAACCAUGACUGAAAAUCUUGUAUAUAUAAUAUACUAUGAUUCAUGGUGAGAAAAUCAUGAUUUAAUAAACGAAAGGUGGUUUGUUUUGCUAACAGUAAUGAGUAUAAAUGUAAAUCGCAGAUCAUACGCUGCUGCUACGGGCUCCAUGUUGUUUAUGCUAGACAACACAAUGGUGCUUGUGUUAUCUGUAGUUGAAGUCACAGUUUAAUAUUCUUUGCUUUAUGCUUGUGUUAUAUGUGGUUGAAGGGACAUCCUUGUUAGUUUGCAUGGUCUAUGUAAGAAGGGGCAGUACAAUGCUUGUCAAGUUUGUUUAUAUUCUGAUGGAUGUUGAAUUCUGGACAAUGGAGACAUGAAUUUGUUACGUACAUAAGUAUUAGCCAUAGGAUACUUUACUCAUUGACGACAGGUAGUUUUAGAGAACUUCUGAAAAUUCCAAUCCGGGUUUUCUGUGUUCCAUUCAGGAAGAACGCACAGUCUGCACUGGGAUAUUAAUUUCCUUUCAUGGGAGGCCUUCAUUACAUUUCAGCGGCAGUUGCGGAUGUGGUCGGUGGUUGAGGGAGGGUCUCCGACUAGAGCAGCAGGAGCAAGGAGCUCGAGGAAGUUCAGGUUUAUGGCUUCUCACGGAUUGUGAUUCUGGUCAUGCUACCUGUUAUGAAGGCUGAGGCGAGCAUCAUGGAGAUGAGCAGGCGAGUGGCUGAUACAGAGAGCUCCUCGAACAGGGAAGAGGCAUUGCUGGAGGAACUCGAAGAUGAGCUAGUCAAUUUUGGCAUGUCCAGUUCAUGUAACCUUUGCAUCUUUACAUGUCUUUGCCUUACUGCCAUUUUAUUUUUGCUGCUUUGGGAUUAGGUUCCGAAGUCAUGCCUUUGCCUUGCUAUUGUGCUGAUAUUGGAUGCAACAUUGUGGACCUUUGGUUCGAGCAUGCCAGCAUGGCCACGGAUUGUAGGGGAGGAAUGUAUUGCCUAAUGAGUUGUAUGCUUUCUUCGGAUCCUCUGUGCUUCCUAUCACAUCUAUCUUGGCCACCUACAAAUUCUUGGGUCCAGGUAUAUAUAGUUUGGUUUUCUGAAAGUGGAUUGCAUUUGCUUCCUGAUCACAUUGAAACAAGAGUGGAAACAACCAUCGUCCGCCGUCCGUUAUUCCUCCCUUAGGUUCCUGAUCUGAAGCGGAGGGAACACGAGGUCACAUCCACAAAGUGGCGGAAGGGGGCUGCAACGUUUUUCUUCAGUCUGAUAAUCAUAUAGUAAUUAGACGGUGUAGUACUAUGGCGGUGGUAUACUGAUUUGGUGUAAGAAUCACUAACAUGACUUUACUUGUACAAAUCUUACAGGUUAAUGGUAUUAAGAAUUAGUAGCGUGUUUUUUUGUUUACUGCUGGAUUUGCUAACAAGUUGUCUCUUGUGUUGUUGUUGAUAUGUUGACUUGCUAUUUUUUGUUCAGUUGAAGGGUUCUCCAGGCUUAAGAUCUUUCUAGGAUAAUUGCGUCAUUGAAUCUGAAGAUAUUUGAUUGGUUUCUCAACCCAUGUAUCGAUAAGCAUUUUUUCAUCCUCAAUAUAUUGUUACUUACCUAACUUGUCGUACAUUUGUGAGGUUUCUAAGGAAGUUCACUUCUUGCACGCGGCGUAUAACUUGAGUUGCCUACAAAUGAUUUUGCCAGUUCGACGAAAACUUAAAAUAACCAAGGGAAAUUUCUCAGUUUUGUUGUUCUUGCUCUUCUUAGAUCUUAGGUUGGGGGUAUUAACAUAUAUGCCACACACUAAGUUUAGGUCUUAGUGUGAGAUUAAAUAGGGAUAAAUCCUUGUGCCAUGUUGAAGAAUUAGAAUUACAAAAAAGAAAGGAAAUAUUAAAGAAGGGAUAUGGUUGAUUAGGUUAUUUUGGUGUUUCUUUGUAAAUAAUGACAUGCUAACUUGCUGGUUUAAUUUAGGUGUGUGGAAUAUAGGAAAUACAAGGAGAGAUAUUCAGUUGCAAUCCAGCUUUAUUUUCAAAGUGAAACAUGGUAUACAUGCAUAGCAUGCUGGUCUUUUACUCUAUAGUUGUGUGUCGCCAUGGUGUCGACUUUGAACUUGCAAACUGAACUGUAAAAUGUUUUAAUGCCUUGGCGCAUGAAGUUUUCUUUGCCUGCUCUGACUACUUCAUUUAUGUUUAUUUAUCAGGUUAUGCAAUCUCCUGUGUUGCUGCAUGUUGAUCUUCUGUUUUGUUGUAACUCUGUUUUGCUGCUCGAGGACAAUUUCCUGGAUUAAUAUCUAUACUGGAGAUCUAGGAGUCCACCCAAAUUCAGUCUCCAAGAAGCCGUUCAUCCAGGAUCCACCAAAAUUCAAAUGAUAUGUGAAAAGUGUGUGCUAGAUGUGGCCCCUAUCCAGCGUUUUGAUUUGUCCACUCAGGUGCUUUUGUCUAGGUGGUAACACAACAAGUUGCUUAUCUUAUAGAAACUUAUUAUACAUACAGUCCUAUGUUCGUUCUGCUUGCAUGUUAGAGAAAGAGCUUCUGCCCCUAUGUGAGUAAUCCUAUGGGAAUUAGCAAUGUUGGUUGUACUUUCAAGCGGGCUGAAUCCAAUGCAAGUUUUUGGAGCAGUUGGGUUCCAGAACAAACGACUAGGUAUUCCCAAAGAGGUCAUUCCACUGGUGGCUAGCAUAAUACCUUCAUGUCGGGACAACGAUCCAAGCAAGCAACCAUCAUUCUACCAGCUCUUGUCAUCGUUGAAGAAAUUACAGUGGUUACAUUGUUACAGAAAGCCUAUGACAAUUUGCGAGUGUUGUUUGUGCAAUAUAUUGGUUUUAUGGGAGGUGCAUGUAUGAAUUCAGAUGGUAGUGGUCUCCUUGUUUACAGUUAUAAGAAUAAUAAAAAUAUUGAUAAUGGUCUUUCCACUA